CUUCUGGUCUGAAAUGUGAAAGAAUACGAGUUGUACAUGAAGGCAUCUGCAGACAGCAGCCAAAAUGCAGCAACUUCAGGUACGGCAAAGUCACAGCUAAAAA